UGUGGAAAACACCUUUUGCGAUUUCAUCGCCACUCGCUCUCCAGUCUUCUUCGCUGUUGGCAUAAACAAGCUACUGUGAAGGUGGCAAAGCUGUGCUGAUUGUUUAGGUUAGAAUGCAACUCACUGGCAUUUAAUAAGAAUGCAUUGUUCUCUAGGAACAUGGAACAAAACAGAAACAACCCACUUCUUGCUAUUAUCCAGGACCAUGAGAGGAAGUUUUGCCAUUCAUGAGAUCCAUUAAAUAAAAGAGCAAAUGGGUAACUUUG